rnacentral:miRNA from 1 species
UAGAUGGCGUAACAGGCAACU